GAUGAACGCUGGCGGCGUGCCUAAUACAUGCAAGUCGAGCGAACGGACGAGAAGCUUGCUUCUCUGAUGUUAGCGGCGGACGGGUGAGUAACACGUGGAUAACCUACCUAUAAGACUGGGAUAACUUCGGGAAACCGUAGCUAAUACCGGAUAAUAUUUUGAACCGCAUGGUUCAAAAGUGAAAGACGGUCUUGCUGUCACUUAUAGAUGGAUCCGCGCUGCAUUAGCUAGUUGGUAAGGUAACGGCUUACCAAGGCAACGAUGCAUAGCCGACCUGAGAGGGUGAUCGGCCACACUGGAACUGAGACACGGUCCAGACUCCUACGGGAGGCAGCAGUAGGGAAUCUUCCGCAAUGGGCGAAAGCCUGACGGAGCAACGCCGCGUGAGUGAUGAAGGUCUUCGGAUCGUAUAACUCUGUUAUUAGGGAAGAACAUAUGUGUAAGUAACUGUGCACAUCUUGACGGUACCUAAUCAGAAAGCCACGGCUAACUACGUG
rnacentral:rRNA from 1 species